GGCGUGCUUAACACAUGCAAGUCGAACGAUGAAGCCUUUCGGGGUGGAUUAGUGGCGAACGGGUGAGUAACACGUGGGCAAUCUGCCCUUCACUCUGGGACAAGCCCUGGAAACGGGGUCUAAUACCGGAUAACACUCUGUCCUGCAUGGGACGGGGUUAAAAGCUCCGGCGGUGAAGGAUGAGCCCGCGGCCUAUCAGCUUGUUGGUGGGGUAAUGGCCUACCAAGGCGACGACGGGUAGCCGGCCUGAGAGGGCGACCGGCCACACUGGGACUGAGACACGGCCCAGACUCCUACGGGAGGCAGCAGUGGGGAAUAUUGCACAAUGGGCGAAAGCCUGAUGCAGCGACGCCGCGUGAGGGAUGACGGCCUUCGGGUUGUAAACCUCUUUCAGCAGGGAAGAAGCGAAAGUGACGGUACCUGCAGAAGAAGCGCCGGCUAACUACGUGCCAGCAGCCGCGGUAAUACGUAGGGCGCAAGCGUUGUCCGGAAUUAUUGGGCGUAAAGAGCUCGUAG
rnacentral:rRNA from 1 species